rnacentral:rRNA from 1 species
AUUGAACGCUGGCGGCAGGCCUAACACAUGCAAGUCGAGCGGAUGAAGGGAGCUUGCUCCUGGAUUCAGCGGCGGACGGGUGAGUAAUGCCUAGGAAUCUGCCUGGUAGUGGGGGAUAACGUCCGGAAACGGGCGCUAAUACCGCAUACGUCCUGAGGGAGAAAGUGGGGGAUCUUCGGACCUCACGCUAUCAGAUGAGCCUAGGUCGGAUUAGCUAGUUGGUGGGGUAAAGGCCUACCAAGCCGACGAUCCGUAACUGGUCUGAGAGGAUGAUCAGUCACACUGGAACUGAGACGCGGUCCAGACUCCUACGGGAGGCAGCAGUGGGGAAUAUUGGGCAAUGGGCGAAAGCCUGAUCCAGCCAGGCCGCGUGUGUGAAGGAGGUCUUCGGAUUGUAAAGAACUUUAAGUUGGGAGAAAGGGCAGUAAGUUAAUACCUUGCUGUUUUGACGUUACCAACAGAAUAAGCACCGGCUAACUUCGUG